UGAAGCCAUUAGGAGUAGUUAAUGGUCUUUCCUGGUGUUGGUAAGUAACACUGACUAAUUGACCAGGGGCGGCAGAUCGCUUUCACCGACUCACAGCAACAGGUGGUCUCCGCUGCAGACGGACGACAAACAAGAUUCACUCUCCUGAAGGCUGAGCCCAAUGGAGCAGAACAGUUAAUGUGGCGGAAAUUUAAAGAGAACAUCACAAGUAUUUGUGCUUAUUUUGUUGGCUGACAAACAGUUCGGAGGACUUUGGGGUUCUUCACUGGAAAUAUCAGGAGUUUGAGGGAUUUCAUGCUCACUUUGCUCCACUACAGAGUCCACAUCUGUGCCACACAGCGUGGUUCAUCAACAUCAACAAAUGCAUCCACACGCCCACCCGCAUGUCUUCACUCCAAUCCUGCACACUUCCUCAACCAUCCUACCAGCUCCAACUGUGAUGGGAACUCAGGACAGAAAUUUCAACAUGCAGCUUCCAACACAAAUGACAUCGAGGACCUCUUUUGCUCCAGUCAGUGCCUUUAAAACACCAACACAGAAGUCUGUCAAACCACCACAAAUGCAGCAAAGACCCAACCGUCUACAUCAAGGAUAUUGUGGAUUCUGUUUCUAUUUCAAAUCCCGAGGGAGAUGGGGUGCACUGCAUGUCUGUAUCGCAUGGAAAAUUCACUACCACAAACAACUCAAGCAAAUGCUGCAAAAACCCAACAGUCUACAUCAAGAGAAUCCUGUCACCAGUUUACCCGACUCAGUGCAACACAAGGAAUCACAGCAGCCCUCCUGCAUGCAUCCGUAUUUGGACUUCUCAUGUGGACACAAUGCAUUUGGAAACACGUGUGAAAGGAGUGAAACUGGCAGAAUAAACCACAACAGAAGUUACCCUUCUGACGUUCGCACACCUUCACCAGCGUCUUGCCACAGUCGUGCAACAAAGAGGGAGCAGCCGGACCAGCCUCCAAACCUGCACUGGAGGGAGAAACCUGAUGAGAAGGAGAAACACAGGAGCUGUCAAACCGACACAAUGAAGGAUUUAUGUCUUACAGAGAAAUCACAGGACCCAAAGGUGACUCCAGAUCUUGUUGGCAGACACAGCAGCUCAGUUUACAGGAAAAGGCAGCUUGAGUGUGAAAGCUUCAUUAAAGUAAAGAGGGCGAAGCAGGAAAUCCUGGAUAACCAGUUUAGUGGUUCUAAGAAUCUGCACUCUGAUCAAUCUCCACUUAUUACGACUCACACACAUCCAGCUUCACACAUUGUACAAAGGCAGCAUAUGAACUUAAGUGAUUUAUCUGUCUUGCAUCCUAACAGCAGUAGAUGCAGCAUCUCUUUUCCAGUCACUGAACUGGAUCCCUACAAAGCUACUUCAUGGGACCAAAUGUUAGACAUUCACAGGAGAAUGGAUCUUCGUGAUAGACAAAAUGUGCUCAAAGACUACUCACUGAAUUCCUGCAAAGUAAUCAGGAUACCUGCUGCAGCUCAGAGGCAACAAAAUGCUCUUUAUGGUUUCUAUGCACCCCCUCUGUAUUUCCCUCCGGCUCUGAGGCAGCAGGAGAUCGUUUACCUGAGAGGAAGGGAAACACUCGCAUCAAGAGAUGUUUCACUACCACUGCAGACGUCACCGCCCUCAUCCUGGCAUUCUGGAAACGUCCUACCCGGAACUGUAAAUCUCAAGGGACUAUCUGAUAAAAAAGGAGAGCAGAUAUUAUCACAACAACAAUCACUCAAUAAUAGUUGAGUUCAGUGUGCAUCGUUUCAGUAGCGCUCCAUGCUGUCCCAAAUGUGAAAACCCAGAGAAAGUGGAGAGCUUUUGAUUACAGUCAAGUAUUACUAACAAAAGAUGCACAAUAGCUUUAGAUAGGGAAAGAGAAUUGUGAAUAAAGCUUGUUGUCCUGGAUAUGUGACUUUCUUACAAUAUGAUUCCCAUGUAAAACUGGUUCUUUCAUUAAACUCAUUAACAUUACUGUGUUUGUUCUUUUUUUGUUUACAUUAAGCUCAGAAUUUGCCAUAAAAAAGCUAAUGUUUGGAGUGAGACAAAUGCUACCCAAAUGUAAAUUUUAAUGGAGGUAAAUCAUAACUAAUUAGUGUAAUCAUUGCUAUGUAACAUGGCUAGGGCGGCGAGCACCAAUUUGAGCUAAAUGUUA
ensembl:lncRNA